GGGCUUAGAUAAACACAGGUUCUUAUAUACAUUACACAUGCAUAUUAAAUAAGGAAUUACCUACGUCAUUACAGUAUAUAAAUAUAAUUAGGCAUGCAAUGUCACAACUGACACAUUCAACCAUGUCAUCUUCCUCCCUGACAUAUGGAAGGCGACAUCUACAGUAAAUUGUAAAACAAUUCCACAAGUGACUUCGGAUAUUCCUCCUUUUGAAAGUUAUCUUGCUGGGAUCCUGUCCAUAACACAAUGAUGUAGCAAAAGCAAUGGCAAAUAUACCACAGUCAUAUCCA